rnacentral:rRNA from 1 species
AAUGAACGUUGGCGGCGUGGAUUAGGCAUGCAAGUCGAGCGAGAAGAGUUUUGAAGCUUGCUUUAGAACUCGGAAAGCGGCGAAAGGGAGAGUAACGCGUAGUUACGUACCCAGGGGUUCGGAAUAGCCACGGGAAACUGUGGGUAAUGCCGAAUAACAUCUCCGGAUCAAAGGUGUGAUUCCGCCCUUGGAGCAGACUGCGUCCUACUAGCUAGUUGGCGGGGUAAUGGCCCACCAAGGCAACAAUGGGUAGCGGGUGUGAGAGCAUGACCCGUCUCACUGGGACUGAGACACUGCCCAGACACCUACGGGUGGCUGCAGUCGAGAAUCUUCGGCAAUGGGCGAAAGCCUGACCGAGCGACGCCGCGUGCGGGAUGAAGGCCCUCGGGUUGUAAACCGCUGUCGUAGGGGAGGAAGGCUCCGUGAAGAACGGGGUUUGACCUAUCCUAGGAGGAAGUACGGGCUAAGUUCGUGCCAGCAGCCGCAGUAACAC